rnacentral:rRNA from 1 species
UACAGAGGGUGCGAGCGUUGUUCGGAAUUAUUGGGCGUAAAGGGCGCGUAGGCGGCGCCACAAGUCACUUGUGAAAACUCUAGGCUCAACCCAGAGCCUGCAGGCGAAACUGUGGUGCUGGAGUAUGGGAGAGGUGCGUGGAAUUCCCGGUGUAGCGGUGAAAUUCGUAGAUAUUGGGAAGAACACCGGUGGCGAAGGCGGCGACCUGGUCCUUGACUGACGCUGAGGCGCGAAAGCGUGGGGGGCAAACAGG